rnacentral:rRNA from 1 species
AACGAACGCUGGCGGCGUGCCUAACACAUGCAAGUCGAGCGAGAAAGCUCCUUCGGGAGUGAGUAAAGCGGCGCACGGGUGAGUAACACGUAGGUAACCUACCCUCGAGCCUGGGAUAACCUACCGAAAGGUGGGCUAAUACCGGAUAUGACCACGGGAGCCACGGCUCCUGCGGUGAAAGAUGGCCUAAGCUUGCAAGCUAUCACUUGAGGAUGGGCCUGCGCACCAUAGCUAGUUGGCGGGGGUAAUGGCCCACCAAGGCUAUGAUGGUUAGCUGGCCUGAGAGGAUGGCCAGCCACACUGGGACUGAGACACGGCCCAGACUCCUACGGGAGGCAGCAGUGGGGAAUCUUGCGCAAAUGGGCGAAAGCCUGACGCAGCGACGCC